ACGGCCGCAAGCGCCAGGAACUCUGCCGCCGGAUUUUCGCCGGCAUCCUCAUCUUCCUCUUCCUUGUCCUCCUCACGAUACUCUUAAUCUGGGCCAUCCUCCGCCCCAGCAAGCCCAGUUUCGUCCUCCAAGACGUCACCGUUUAUGCCUUCAACGUCUCCGCCCUAAACUACCUCACCUCCAACUUCCAAAUCACCUUCUCCUCUCGCAACCCAAAUGACAAAAUUGGCAUCUACUACGACAAGCUUGACGUCUACGCCAUCUACCGGAACCAACAGAUAACUCUCCGUUCAGCAAUCCCAUCCACCUACCAAGGCCACAAUGAAAUCAACGUAUGGUCUCCAA
rnacentral:lncRNA from 1 species